rnacentral:rRNA from 1 species
AUGGCUCAGGAUGAACGCUGGCGGCGUGCCUAACACAUGCAAGUCGAACGAAACUGAUUUCAUGAAACUCGGUAGAUUGGAUGAAAGUUGAGUGGCGACGGGUGAGUAACACGUGGGCAACCUGCCUCACAGAGGGGGGAUAGCAGUUGGAAACGACUGAUAAUACCGCAUAAGCACACAGUACCGCAUGGUACAGGGUGAAAAGAUUUAUCACUGUGAGAUGGACCCGCGUCUGAUUAGCCAGUUGGCAGGGUAACGGCCUACCAAAGCGACGAUCCAGUAGCCGACCUGAGAGGGUGACCGGCCACAUUGGGACUGAGACACGGCCCAGACUCCUACGGGAGGCAGCAGUGGGGAAUAUUGCACAAUGGGGGAAACCCUGAUGCAGCGACGCCGCGUGGAGGAAGAAGGUCUUCGGAUUGUAAACUCCUGUUGUUGAGGAAGAUAAUGACGGUACUCAACAAGGAAGUGACGGCUAACUACGUG